UGUGGGAGCGGGCUUGCUCGCGAUGGCGGCAUUACAUUCAGCAUUUAUGUUGACUGAAUCACCGCCAUCGCGAGCAAGCCCGCUCCCACA
rnacentral:misc_RNA from 1 species